rnacentral:rRNA from 1 species
GAACGCUGGCGGCGUGCCUAAUACAUGCAAGUCGAGCGAACGGACGAGAAGCUUGCUUUUCUGAUGUUAGCGGCGGACGGGUGAGUAACACGUGGAUAACCUACCUAUAAGACUGGGAUAACUUCGGGAAACCGGAGCUAAUACCGGAUAAUAUUUUGAACCGCAUGGUUCAAAAGUGAAAGACGGUCUUGCUGUCACUUAUAGAUGGAUCCGCGCUGCAUUAGCUAGUUGGUAAGGUAACGGCUUACCAAGGCAACGAUGCAUAGCCGACCUGAGAGGGUGAUCGGCCGCACUGGAACUGAGACACGGUCCAGACUCCUACGGGAGGCAGCAGUAGGGAAUCUUCCGCAAUGGGCGAAAGCCUGACGGAGCAACGCCGCGUGAGUGAUGAAGGUCUUCGGAUCGUAAAACUCUGUUAUUAGGGAAGAACAUAUGUGUAAGUAACUGUGCACAUCUUGACGGUACCUAAUCAGAAAGCCACGGCUAACUACGUG